AAGUCGUAACAAGGUUUUCGUAGGUGAACCUGCGAAAGGAUCAUUACUGAGUUAGGGUCUUCAUGGCCCGACCUCCAACCCUUGUGUUAACCAUACCAUGUUGCUUUGGCGAGCCCGUCCAUCCGGACCGCCGGAGGGUCUUAAACCCCCCUCUGGCCCGUUGCUCGUCGAUAGCCCCAAUUAAAUUCUUCUAAACCAUGUCGUCUGAGUUAUAAUUUUAUAAUUAAAAUAAAACUUUCAACAACGGAUCUCUUGGUUCUG
rnacentral:misc_RNA from 1 species